AGCACCUCUACCCAAGUCUGCACCGUCGCGCGUGGGCACCGUGGUGCCAAAGUCAGCGGCCGGCCUGGGAAGGCAGACGGGUCCUUAUCUGCUUUCUCGAGGCUCACUGGGCCUGGCUGGCUGGAAACUCUCAGCCCCGCCCGCCACCCACCGGUCCCAGACAUGCUUGGGGCCCCUGAGCUCCUGGCAUCCGGCGUCUUGGCUGGGAAGCUGCCCGUCUCCGGCUCCCACGCGCCUGGCUCGCUGCUGCUGGGGCUCAGGCAGUGCCAUCGGUCACCACUCUGUUUUUGUGGGCAGCACACCCAGGGGGCUAUUCCCACACUGCCCCUGGGCUGUCGAGGUCACCGCACAUCCCUCUGUCCGCCCCCUGCCUCCCUCCGCCACGCGAGGACCUCGCGAUUGCUUUAGGCCAGGCCUGGAGAUCAGGAGAACGUCCAUCUGUAAGUGCAUAGUCCACAGGCAGUAGGGUCAGGACAUGGGCAUCUCUGGGACCGCCCCCAUCAGCGGCUCUCUCACGUGCCCCUGGUACUGUGUCAGCACUGUGAACAGCAGCCUGAGGACCUGGUGGAGAGUCCUGGCCAUUGGGAGAGGGCCCAGCGUGGUGGGCGAGGGGAGCGGCGUUCACCAGAGCCUGGAGGCUGCGCCUGCUCCUGCGGUGGGGGGUGCUCCCCUCCCCCAGGAUCACCUGGAGGCCCAUCAGUGACGCAGGUGUCUUCGUGUCAGGCAGUUGGCGGCGUGAAGCCGGGCUUCUCUGGUGUCAUCCUCGGGUCUCCGGGGCACAGGCCAGUUCUGCCACGGUGGGCCGGACGCGCCAUUUCCCACCAGCUCCGGGCGAUGCCUGAAGCCUCACAGAAAGGUCUGGGGUCGAAGCGGUGUUUGCAGCAAGAAAGCACUUCCCACUGCCUGGUAGCUCCGCGCCCACACGGUCUUAGGGCAGCGCCGUGUCCAGCGCUGCCCACCUUUGCCCCGGAAGGGCCAGACCUGCGUGGGCAGCCUCCGCCGAGCCCCUGGCAGAGCCGGGCCUCUGCCCUCCCCUGGGCCGGGCCGCCUGCUCCCCGGGGCCAUGCAGGUGGUCAGGAGAGGAAGCUGCUCAGGAGAGCCCACGUGGUAGGAAGGGUGCAAUUAUUAUUGGCAGAAAGGAUUUCUUGUUCUGUUGAUUUUUGUCUAGAUUUAUCCCUUUUUCUGCCACUUUCUGAUAUAGAUACAUCGAAGUGGAGCUGUUUGGGGUCCAGAAUGCCUCCUGCCUCGCAGCCCCCAGUGCAGCCCUUCCCAGCGUCUCAGCAGAAUACCGGGGAAGACUCACAGAGCCCAACUGGGAUGGAUAAAAGAUUAAUUUUUAAAACAAAGUGAUUAAAAUACAAGGAAUAAAUGAGCACAAUGGUUAUCUUCUCUCA
rnacentral:lncRNA from 1 species